ensembl:lncRNA
AAAAAUAAGUGUUUGCUGAAUAAACUGACUUUGCCAAGGGGGUGGUGCUUCCAGCAGAGGCUGCAGCCUGGGGAACGUGCCUGGUAGACGUCCAACCAUAGGGACCUUGGCAGCCGUCCAGCCACGGACCAAGGCCCCGCUCACGGUAUCCAGACCGCCCUGCCUGCACCUCUUCCCCUGUGCUUGUCACUCUGUGUAUGGAAAUCUGUUUCCGACUGUCUGUUUUUCUCCCCAAUUUGAAACUCCUGGGAGACAAGUCUGUGUUCUGGUUAUUGUAGCAAUGGUAUUUCUUAAUGAAUAAGCAAGUCUUCUAAUGAUGGUGCUACUAAACACCAAUCACUCCCUCACUUUGCAGCCCUCCUGGUUGACUUCAUGUCAUUUCAAAGGUGAUGCCUUCAGCUGUGGGCUCUCUCCAACCAGCUCCCAGAGGGUAAACCCUCUGUCUCCUCUCUCUGUGCCUUUUCAUGGGCCACCAGGUACUGAUCUACACUCUCCAAGGGCCAUCCCGAGACCAUUGAAUGAAAUGAGUGCACGAUCUGCAGUAGGUCAUUACUGACUAACGGGUUUUUAUUCCUUCCUCGGUUGCCAGGAUGAUGCAGUAGUGACUGCCUGCUGCAGAAGGCUUUCAUCUGCUAAAUGACUCCCAGCAUGUCUGCUGAAAAUCCUGAGCCAUCAGGAACACCACUUCCUCACCCUUCCACAACUUUCCACCACGACACGCAGACCUUCUCCUCGAAGGAAGAAGGAUUAUCGGGGCCAUAAGGAUCUGCCGAAGAAAGAGCUCCUGGAAGGGAAAAUGUUUCUGUAUGAGAAGUUUCUGGAAGCAGACUUCAAGGCUCAUUCUUCACAAACCCUGCCUGGUCUUAGAGCAAGCAGGCCUCUUCUCGAGGACACGAUGCCAUCUACAUCAUUUGUGAAGCACGAGGGAGAGUUUCUGCCCUCCCAGGACCAGAGUACACAGACGGAGUGGAUUUAUGAAAGCAAGAUGGUACUUUCAAAAUCAAGAUCUCUAAGAGAGGAAGAAUCAACAAUGACGCUGGCCACCUUCAAGUCUGAGUCACAAGCCUUUGUUCCCAGUGAAGAACCCCAAAUGGCAGAAAACGGUGAGUCCCACAGAACCUAACCAAAGAUUCCUGCUCCCUGUGGAGUGUCUGGGAAUGGUGCCCCCCGGGUGAGCGGGUGCCUUGCUGGUCUGGCCAGUGCUGAGUCCUAGAGAAAAUCGAGGGAAGUGCUGGGCACACAGUCCACGAACCUGGAUGUGCUUCCCUGCCCUUAACUGAAAAGGGGAGAUAGAAAGAGGGUCUUGGAGGUGAGAAAGAAUGGCCUGGGAACAGCCCAGAAGUCCAUCUCUCUCUACCCAAGGUCUGUAUAGGGACACCCACAUUUCAAGAGAGGCCAGCCAGUCAAUUACUAGCUUCUCUGAAGUCUGGGCAGCAGGGCUUAACUGGGAUGCAUGGGUCCUUCCAGACAGACUCAUUCCAUGGCACUUUGGCAGGGAAUGAAUUAGAG